CAGGCUUAACACAUGCAAGUCGAGGGGCAGCAUGGUCUUAGCUUGCUAAGGCCGAUGGCGACCGGCGCACGGGUGAGUAACACGUAUCCAACCUGCCGUCUACUCUUGGACAGCCUUCUGAAAGGAAGAUUAAUACAAGAUGGCAUCAUGAGUCCGCAUGUUCACGUGAUUAAAGGUAUUCCGGUAGACGAUGGGGAUGCGUUCCAUUAGAUAGUAGGCGGGGUAACGGCCCACCUAGUCUUCGAUGGAUAGGGGUUCUGAGAGGAAGGUCCCCCACAUUGGAACUGAGACACGGUCCAAACUCCUACGGGAGGCAGCAGUGAGGAAUAUUGGUCAAUGGGCGAGAGCCUGAACCAGCCAAGUAGCGUGAAGGAUGACUGCCCUAUGGGUUGUAAACUUCUUUUAUAAAGGAAUAAAGUCGGGUAUGGAUACCCGUUUGCAUGUACUUUAUGAAUAAGGAUCGGCUAACUCCGUGCCAGCAGCCGCGGUAAUACGGAGGAUCCGAGCGUUAUCCGGAUUUAUUGGGUUUAAAGGGAGCGUAGAUGGAUGUUUAAGUCAGUUGUGAAAGUUUGCGGCUCAACCGUAAAAUUGCAGUUGAUACUGGAUAUCUUGAGUGCAGUUGAGGCAGGCGGAAUUCGUGGUGUAGCGGUGAAAUGCUUAGAUAUCACGAAGAACUCCGAUUGCGAAGGCAGCCUGCUAAGCUGCAACUGACAUUGAGGCUCGAAAGUGUGGGUAUCAAACAGGAUUAGAUACCCUGGUAGUCCACACGGUAAACGAUGAAUACUCGCUGUUUGCGAUAUACAGCAAGCGGCCAAGCGAAAGCGUUAAGUAUUCCACCUGGGGAGUACGCCGGCAACGGUGAAACUCAAAGGAAUUGACGGGGGCCCGCACAAGCGGAGGAACAUGUGGUUUAAUUCGAUGAUACGCGAGGAACCUUACCCGGGCUUAAAUUGCAGAUGAAUUACGGUGAAAGCCGUAAGCCGCAAGGCAUCUGUGAAGGUGCUGCAUGGUUGUCGUCAGCUCGUGCCGUGAGGUGUCGGCUUAAGUGCCAUAACGAGCGCAACCCUUGUUGUCAGUUACUAACAGGUUCUGCUGAGGACUCUGACAAGACUGCCAUCGUAAGAUGUGAGGAAGGUGGGGAUGACGUCAAAUCAGCACGGCCCUUACGUCCGGGGCUACACACGUGUUACAAUGGGGGGUACAGAGGGCCGCUACCACGCGAGUGGAUGCCAAUCCCCAAAACCUCUCUCAGUUCGGACUGGAGUCUGCAACCCGACUCCACGAAGCUGGAUUCGCUAGUAAUCGCGCAUCAGCCACGGCGCGGUGAAUACGUUCCCGGGCCUUGUACACACCGCCCGUCAAGCCAUGGGAGCCGGGGGUACCUGAAGUGCGUAACCGCGAGGAGCGCCCUAGGGUAAAACUGGUGACUGGGGC
rnacentral:rRNA from 1 species